rnacentral:rRNA from 1 species
GGGUGCAAACGUUGCUCGGAAUUAUUGGGCGUAAAGCGUGCGUAGGCGGUUCAGCAAGUCGGGUGUGAAAUCCCUCGGCUUAACCGAGGAAGUGCAUUCGAAACUACUGAGCUUGAGUACCGGAGAGGGUGACGGAAUUCCCGGUGUAGAGGUGAAAUUCGUAGAUAUCGGGAGGAACACCAGUGGCGAAGGCGGUCACCUGGACGGAUACUGACGCUGAGUGCACGAAAGCGUGGGGAGCAAACAGGAUUAGAUACCCUGGUAGUCCACGCCGUAAACGAUGGAUGCUAGACGUCGUAGGUAUUGACCCCUGCGGCAUCGAAGCUAACGCGAUAAGCAUCCCGCCUGGGGAGUACGGCCGCAAGGCUA